AUAUACAUUCACUCACGCGAGAAGGGCCUCGAACCAACUUCGACUCACCAAAACACGGCGCAAAGCCCAUCAAGUGGACAACUGCCAGCUCGCCCCGAUCAGUCUCGGACCGUCUCGUUCGCCGGAUCCGCCCAGGAGCCAUAACCCUAGAACCCUCGCUGGCUCGGCUCCGCUCGGCCCCCUCCCCCGCCGCCCAAUGGAGGAUGAGGAGAUGGACAAGAAGGUGCAGCAAUACGGAACAAGGGCUUACACCUCACCGAGCUCGCGCUGCAGGAGGAGCGCAACCGCCGCUCCACCUCCGUCCUCUCCGACGUCGCUCUCGCUAGAAAAGGUUGGAAAGUAUUGAUAUGUGAAAUGUUAUUUGAGUGAAACCAGUCAGAAUGCAUAUGCCAGUUGUGUCAUGACAUGUAUGGUAUGUAUUGCUUCAUUUUGCUAUGGCAUGGUUUGCAGUCUGCCUGGCGGUGUUCGCUUUCUCCAAAAUGGUCAUGCUUCUUUCUGGGCUCCAUGGCUGUGCGGGCAAAGAGAGUCUGUUGGAUCCCCGUUCUGAUUCAAUCACUCGACGUGCUGCGUCGGGUUUGAAAGCCAAACCGAUCAUUAACAUUGAUGAUGGAGAUGAUGUUAGGACCGAGAAACACCUGUCAUGGAUGCCAGAUGAAGACUUGAGGUUGGUAAGUAAAAUCAUUAAAUUGGCCUUCGCCAAGAAUCAAGCUAUCUCCGAUCUUGUAAGCUAAAUUUCAGGUGAGCGCUUGGUUAAACAAUUCGAAUGACCCGAUCAAUGGGAAUGGCAAGAAAAAUGAGCAAUAUUGGGGAGAUGUACUUGCAGUCUACAACAGCACUACACCUACAAAUCGAAAACGGAAAAAGAAGCAUCUCAAAGAUUGAUUUCAGAAGAUUAAGCGAUGGGUUGGUCUUUUCUGCGGCUCUUGGAAGAAGGCUACCUCA